rnacentral:tRNA from 1 species
GCGGCUAUAGCUCAACUGGAUAGAGCAACGGACUUCUAAUCCGUAGGUUUGGGGUUCAAGUCCCUAUAGCCGCG